rnacentral:lncRNA from 1 species
GUGAUAGGACCAGGUCCCUCUCUUUCUUGAGUGAAUUUUAAGCUUGUGAUUGCAUCAACUAUUUUUUCCCAAAGCUGAACCCAUGGAUGUAUACCUGCAAAGGUAUGGUACUGAGUUAGAUUAACAUGCACUUACAUUAUCAUAGAUACCUGUCUCCUUGACAUAGCAAAUUUUGAGAAGUAACACUGACUCAGAUGUUAGGUCAGGGCAUUUUGAUCAAGCUCAGUCUCAAUUUGAUCUUUUAGAACAGGUUUGAGGGCCAAGCUCUAGAUUUUUUCUUUACUCAUACUGCCUCAAGUUUCUUCUUUUAGGAUGAAUUCCUUUGGACCCAGGUCCCUUGUAAUCAUCUCUUACAAAGUGAGACAUUUUCACGUUGAAGUGUCUUGAGAGUGAGAAUUUAAUCAGAUCUUUAAAAAUUGAGUAUACAACACAACUAUUAACAGACAUUUCAUGACUGUAAUUCCCCUUCUCAUACCUGAAUUCAUGAUAACAAGUUGGAUUUGGGAAUCCACUUAAGUUUGAGUUUUCAAAAAGAAGACAAUGGUGCGAUCAAAACUUUCUUGGCCCAUUUAGGUAGAGAAUUGUUCCUCACAUUUUUCAGAGGUUUGAACUCCUUAUGUUGUGUACUCUCCUGAUGAAUAUAUCUGAAAUUAUUAAUUCUAGAUCUUAUCCAUCUCUAACAACUUGCCUUAAUAUGCUCAUCCUUUUCACAAUAAGUACACAUAGGAAUGAAAACCUUAUUUCUACCACCAUUGACAGUCUUUCCUUGCCACCCAACAAGUUGGAAUUCUCUUUGAUAGCCCAGUCCUUCGCCAUAAUUAACACCCUGACUAAAUAGUUCAGGAAGGAUCUAUGAAUAAGCAUUCCAUUUAACAGACUUGUUCAACUCUUCUCUUAAGCGGACCAGGUCCUUUUUUAACUUUUCAUUCCUGUAAAGUGCAGUAAAGAAUUUUUGGGAAUCUUCCAAUCUUUCCUUAAGAUUAACUUGAAGCCUUAAAGCUACUUUCUUCCCUUUUCCAUCUACAUCAUUUAUUUUCUAUAGAUUACUUAUCAAACUUAGAUUUUUAGAUUUCAUCUCAGUAGUUAGUUCACAUACAAAGUGUAUCAACAGACUCGCAAGCCUUUAUAUUUUUCUAGCCAUGUAAUUAUCGAGAUUCUCCUUAAUAUCAGAUAGUUUUACCAUUUUUUCAUCCUCUAUGUCUGCUAUGAAUGUAAAUAAGGAAUCACAGAUAACUGGACUAUCUUUCACUACGAGCAUAGAAACAUUUCCUAUCUUCUCAUCUUCACCUGAAUCACUGGAAUAGUCUCCCCAUCCUGCUAAAGCUUGCUUUACUACAUAACCAACUGCACCCUUUCUUCUUGAUCUUUUAGGUACCUGGUCCCUUAACUUUCCCUUGCUACCUGUAGCUUUAAGGUAAUCCUUAUAGUCCAUUUUGUGUAUUGGACAAUCCUUAAUGAAAUUCUCAGGAAUUCCACAUUCGUGACACACCUCAACAUUACUUCCUUUCUUGCUACUGUUUCCUCUUCUUUAAAACUGACCACUCUUCUUCAUGCCCUAACAAUCCUGCUUUCCAGAUAGGCAACUUCAAUGUCUUCAUCAUCAGAAUCAUGUUUAGAAGCCUUCAAAGCUAGGGAUUUUUAUAUUUUUACUUCCUUCUUCUCCAUUUUUUGCUUCAGUUAUGGCAUCUACCUUGCUUUUCCAGGACUUAGGAAGAACACCAAGAAUUUUUCUCUCUUGUUUGUACAAAGAAAUCACUUCUCUUAGGCAAUGAAGCUCAUUUGUAAUAGAAGUUAUCUUGUAUGCAUCUCUUGGAUUGUUUCUCCUUUUUUCGUAAUGAAGGUCUCAUACUGAGUAGUUAGCAUGUCUACUUUUGAAUCUUUCACAUCACAAGUACCUUCAUGAGCGGUCCUCAAAAAAUUCCAGAUCUCCUUAGCACUUUCACAAGAAGAAAUUUUGUUGUAUUCAUCAUGCCUUAUACCACAAACCAACAGCUUCUUGGCUUUGUAAUUUUUUUCAAUCCUUCUUUUAUCUUGAUCAUUGAACUCUUUCCUGCUUAUGACAACAAUUCUUGUAAUUCUCAUUCUUUAACUUCUCUAACAAGAACAUGAGAACCAUCCAGAAGUAUGUCCAUCAGCUCACUAUCUUCAGCCUUAAUGAAGUCAAACAUCCUGGUUUUCGACCACCCAUUGUACUGCUCAUUAAAUCUAGGUGGCCUAGUGGUAGAUUUCCCUUCUUCCUGAUUAGGUGGAGCCACCAUGAUAGCCAAAUCACUCUAGGUAUGAACUUUUUAGAGUGCUUUGUCUUAAAUAUCAAUUGUUGAAACCCUGAGGGUUGCACCACACAGUGAGGGCCAGGUCCCUUAAAGUCAAUCAUAGACAAAAACUAUUAAAAUAACCACCAAUCAAAGAAUAGUGCAGGAAGAGUAAAAACACAAAAUUUUAACGUGAAAACCCCCUUUGUUCAAGGAAGGAAAAAACCAUGGCUUGCCCUCACAAGUACUUCAAAAUCCACAAUGAUCAAAAUCUUGAUUACAGCCUUCAUUGAACUUAACUCUAGGUUCCUUUCGUGUGUAAUAACUCUAUUACAAGCUCAUCUUGACAACUCUGUCAAGGAACCUCUACACUGAUUAACUCUAAUAAGUAUCAAGCUUGAGACAACUCUACCUAAGCACUUCCCUCAUCAAUGAAAAACACUACUCUUAUAGCAUGAGUAAUUCAAUUACAAAUCAGAUCUCACACAAGAACAGUUCCUAAUUAAGCACACAUAAUCUGCUAAGAACUUGAGCAGUGCUGAAAAAUGGAGUUUUUGUUGCCUCUCUUUACUCUUUGUAAUUGCAAAAAUUGUUUGAUAAAGAAGCAUUUUUUCUUUUAUAGAUGAGUGAUGAUUAGGACCGACAAAAGAUUGGUCCAGGUGUCCCAUUUAGUACGAUCAACACCUGCAAGUUUGUUACAUAAGAAGACAAAGCUUGUGCAGACACGCAUGCCAGCUAUGUUGUACCAUUCACAUCAAGGGACCUGGUUCCUUGCAGUUAGCUGCUCAUCAUCUAUAUAGAAAUACGGAUUGACCGAACCCUUAAUUUCACUGCCAGUGCUGCAGCUUUUUGCACCUCCGUUAUGUUCACUUUUAAGUCUUGUGAUAAUAUAUACAUAUAUAAUGAAUUUUUUUUAUUACUUUGAAGCUAGUUAAGAAUACAAUGUCAAUUUUCAAUGCACAUAUCUUACUUGCUCACACACCAAUAAAUACACACAUAUCUUGAUAUUUUUCAUGUAAACAAAAAUAAAUCUUAAUUUUAUUUAUAACAAAAAGAGCAAGAAAAACUCGUACGAAAAUGGAGUCAUGAUUUCAACUUUAUGGAUUUUGAAAUUUAAAAUAAUGACUUCAGUUGUCAAUAAUUGGAUACUACAUUUAAUAUUUUCACUUUUUUUGUGAACUAGUAAGUUCAAAUACACUCUUUGUACAACAUCUAGAUUAUGCGUCUCUUAUUAAAGACUUAAUGCAUGACAAAAAAGAGCACAAUUCAUAUCAUAUCUAACUUAAGAAGAUGCAUGCUGUCCCUCAUAUCAUUAAAAUAUACUUCAAGGACUCAAAAAAAUCAGAUCUAAUUUGAUUGAACAAAAUUAGAACUUUAUAAAAAAAAAAUGCAUAGAAAUCCAUUACUCAAUUACACUAAAAAGGCAAUACAUACUUUGCAAAAUCAUUUCUGUAAUAUCCCGAGACUCUAACCAAGUGCAACCAUGACUCAAGCUCAUGAGAAGUAAAUUAUAGUGCUUUGGCUAUUUUCUGAUCAAGGAUGAUGUGUAUUAAGGCCUCAAAGAUGUCCUAGCAAUUAGGUGAAUCAAAACAUUCCUUACCGAUUGAAUUCUUGGGAACGAUAUUGCCAUAUUCAACUUUAAAUGAGCAUAUCUCUUAUUAUAAUACGAAUUAUUGAGCUCAUGACCUACCAAAAGAUAGAUAAUUGAAUUAAAUUUCCAACUAUACCAAUUUCACUAAAAUGCGGUAUCGGAUCCAAGAUUUAUGCCCAUUUUACUCCAGCAUAUAAGGCUGGAAAACUAAGUGACGACAUUUUGUGAUAAGCUGUCACAAGUGUGACGACUUAUCACCAAUGUCGUCAGCCUUAGGAAGAUUUCCACCCCCAGUGAAGACAUUUUGUGAUAAGUUGUCACAAGUGUGAUGACUUAUCACCAAUGUCGGAAAUGAUGACUUGUCACAAGUCUGAUGACUUGUCACGAAUGUCGUUAGCUAUUUUUUUCAACAAUUAAAGGACAUUUUUGCAUGGGUAUUUUGGUCUUUUCCAUCUUUUGGAGGCCCCUAUAUAUAUAUAAAUUCCCAUCUAAACCCUAAUUUCUUCAUUCUCUCUUCCAAUUCUCUUAAGAAAUAUAUCUAGGGUUUUUAUUUAAGGACAUUAAUCUUCCAAAAAUCAUCCAUAAAUCUUCAAGAUUUCUUCAAGAAUCAAGUUCCUCAUAGUGUGGGCUCCAAGAAUCAUUUAUUACAAGUGCAGAUAAAGUCUCAAGCUCUAGAAUUCAUCCAAUUUCAAAAAUUAAGGUAUGUGGGGUUUUGAACAAGAGCAAUUCAUUCGUUCUUGUGCCCAAAGCUUUGAUUUCUAUCAUGGACUUAUAUGAUUUUGCAAGUGGGUUUAUACCCAAAUUACUUCAUCAUGAGAUUAUGAGAAUAUAAAUUGUUCAAGCUUUGUUAUACAUGAUUAUUUUGCUAUUCCCAAGUUAUGACUUGAUGUUUAAUAUUGUGAAUUUCAUAUUUCUACCAUGAGUUGAUAUUUGACGUGCUUUCAAGAUAUGUGUCAAGCUUUAAGCUUCCUUAUGAAUGACAAACUAGAUUAUUGAGUAUAUUGAUUCAUAAGAUUGAGUUGUUACAAUGAGUCUUGAUAUUUCCUCAAAGUUAUUGAUGUUGUCAUGAUUUAAUGAAUUGAUACAUUUUGAUAUUGAGAAAGAUUGAUUUGAUUUGAGUCGAGUUAGGAAUCCACAAAUUGAUUAUGAUUUGAUAAAUGAGAAAGAGAUUUGAUUUGGUCUUCAUGAUAGAUCCUUGUGAUAUUUGUGGUGGAUUUCCUAACGCGUUCUGAGCUUGUUUCUGGGAGUAGUAUUUAGCACCGAGCAGGAAAUGUGGUAUUUCCCCAAAACUACGUGCCACUGUAGGAUUGAUAUUGAUAAUUAUGGGCCAGAGGCUGAGUAUGAGAUUAUGAUCACUAUGUUUUGGUUGUACUCCCUAGCAAGAGUACGACGCUCCCGCCAAUGUGGGAUUCUGUCCUUAGGAGGGAAAAACAUUGGAAUCCAUGUAGCUUACAUGGUUUAUGUCGGUUAUAAGAACCUUCCAUAUCCAUAAGAGUUGAGUUUCUUGAAUUAUCGAGUCACUCCGAGUCUUUACUUGAAGAGUCGAGUUGUUUAUGAUUAUUUAUGAGGGUUUUAUCAUAUGAUUUAUUUACUAUGAGAUCAUGAAAAGUAUGUUUCAAUCUAACUCAAUCCAAGUGAGCUAUCAUUGUACAUAUGCAUAUUUUUUUUAAAUUGAUGAUGAUAUUUGCAUUGUUACAUGCACCCCCACAUACUUAGUACAUUCCAAAGUGUUGACCCACAUAUAAUCCUAUGGACUACAUUUUCUCGUAAUGCAGGUUCAGGUACUCAGCUACAGCCGUGUUAGCGAUAUUCGAGUGCCUCAACUACGUUCCCCCAGUGGUGAGUCCUCAUAGUUUGAGGACUGUGUCUAUAUUUUUGGUGAUAUCGUUCUGUUGUUACGGCUUUCAGUACUGUUUGAGUCAGUUGGGGGUUUGUCCCAGUGGCUUCUUGAUUUUUAUUUAUAGAGGCUUUGUCAGACUAGAGGGUUGGUAUGUAUAGACAUUCAAUAUAUUUUGGUUGUACAGUCUAGUAUUCUCCAGUAUUUCUCAUGAACCCGAUGUGGUAUAUCUCUUUGUUAUACAUGACUAUUGUUGAAUUGAAUUUCUCGAGGUAGUGUCUGGCUCCGAGGGUUAGCUUGGGGCUACGUGUAGCCCUAAGCACCGUAUGGCAUCUUGGGAUGAAAUUUUGGGGCAUUAAAAUUUCCCCUAAUCGAUCGUGGUGAAGUCAAAAACAGAUUCAUCAAAUCAUACACCUUACGCUACGAUUGAUAUGAGAAUGAGUUGAGUUUUAUGAAAAAGAUGAGACGGAAUUUUAUUACUCUAAGGAAAUUAAAUUAUGUUGCUGAUAAGAGGGCGGGGAGGAAUUUGAUGUUACAAAUUUGGUGAUUUUAGGAGAUGUGCAUAAUCACUUGAUGCGUUUCUGACCCAGAAGGGAUGAAAAAUGAAAGAACUUGUGUGCACUUUCUAUGGAGUGGAGUGUACUAUCAUGCCUUUAUUUAUUUUUUAAGUAAAAAAAAAAGAACCUUAAAAGAAAGAGACAAAAAUCUUAAUACCUAGAACAUAACGCCUAGACUGUAACGCUUAGAGCAUAACACCUAAAAUGUAACGCCUAUAUAUAUACUCUUCACAUAUAUUAUGAAGAGUUAACUAAUCAAAUCUUUGUAAUCGAUUUUGGAUUCUACUUUCUCUCACCCUAUACCAAAUUCAACUUGAAGAAAUGAAAAACAAAAGAUAUUAAGUUUUGUUUUAUAUAUAUCUACUGUCACUAAUAGAAAUUGCAAACUAAGUUUUAUGUUUUAGAUAUAAAACAAAACUUAGUAUUCUUUGCUUUUCAUUGCUUCAAGUUUAAUUCGAUAUAGAGUGAGAGAAAGUAGAAUCUAAAAAGGAUUACAGAAAUUCGAUUAGUCAACUCUUCACAAUAUAUGUGAAGAGUAUAUAUAUAGGCAUUAUAUUUUAGGUGUUAUACUUUAAGUGUUACAGUGUAAGCGUUAUAUUUCAGGUUGUAAGAUUUUUGUCUCUUUCUUUUUUAGGUUCUUUUUUAAAAGUAAAAUAAAAAAUAAAGGUAUGAUAGUACACUCCACUCAUAGACCGUGCACACCAAUUCUUCUUUCAUUUUUCAUUUCUUUUGGGUCAGAAACACGUCAAGUGACUGAGCACCUCCCUUAAAGUCAUCAAAUUUGUAACAUCAAAUUCCUCUCUGUCCUCUUCUCAGCAACAUAAUUCUAUUUCCUUAGAACAAAAAAAACCCAACCUCAUCUUUAUCUUAAAACUCACCUCACUCUCAUAUCAAUCCUAGCUUAAGGUAUAUGAUUUGGUGAAUCUAAUGUUGACUUCACCACGAUUGAUUAGGUGAAAGGAUUUUGCAAAGUAUGUUUUGCUUUUUUAGUAAAAUUGAGUAAUGGAUUUCUGAGCAUAUUUUUUUUGAUAAAGCUUUAUUUUUGUUCUAUCAUAUUAGAUUUGAUCUUUUUAAGAUCUUGAAGUAUAUUUUAAUGAAAUAAUGGAUACCAUGCAUCUACUUAAAUUAGAUAUGAUAUGAAUUGUCCUCUUUUUUGUUAUGCAUUGAGUCUUUAAUCGGAGAUGCAUGAUCUAGGUAUUGUACAAAGAGUGUAUUUGAAAUUAGAAAUUCACUAAAUAUGUGCAAAUAUUAAAUGUUGUACCUAUUAUUGGCAACUGAACUCAUUAUUUUUAAAUUCAAAACCCAUAAAGUUGAAAUCGUGACUACAUUUUUGUGCAAUAUUUUCUUGCUCUUUUCAAUAGAACUACUACUAGGUAGCAUUAUAUUAAGCUAAUUAUUUUAGUUUUUACCUCUAUAUUCUUUAAAAGAAAAUUAUUUAAGUGUAUGGGUGGUUAAAUUUUACUAAUGAAUGGCCCAUAAAUUGAUAAUUCAACCCAAUUUUUACUCAUUUAGUUUCAUGGAUUGUCUACCCAAUUGAAAGGUCUUCACUUUUUGUUAUGUAUUAAACUUGCAUCCAAUGGCAGAACCGCAUUAUGGCUGAACCCCCUUCGGUGAAAAAAUUAUACUAUUUUUAUAUGGGGAAAAUUAUUUUUUUUAUAUAUAUAAUUGAUGUUGAAACCCUGCGGUUAAUUCGUGUGCCAACAUUUUUCGAUUUUGAACCCUCUUGCUGAAAAUUCAGGCUCCGCCACUGCUUGUAUCUAGUGAGGCAUAGAUUCUUUAAGGAUGUUGAGAAUUAGUACAGUAACAAAAACAAUUGGGAUUGGGAGGUAAGUGUAAGCAGCCCAUACCACUAUCUCAGAUGUGAGAUAGAUAGGUUAUUUCUGAAAGACCCCCGGAUCAAAACAAAACAAUCUAGACAAGGAAUAGUAAAAGAACAAAAUACAAUAGAAAUCAACAUAUCCAAUAAUACCAUAAACAAGAUACAUCAAGUAAUACAACAUCCUAAACUCAUACUAACCUUCUACUCUAAUGUGUCUCCUCCAUAACUUCGUAUCUAGGUUCAUAUCCUCGAUAGGUUGGAGUUGCUCUAUGUCAUGUCUAAUCACCUUUCUCCAAUAUUUCUUCGAUCUACCUCUACCUCGCUAGAAACCAUCCCCACACUUGCUACUGGGAAUCUGUGCCCCUUCUCAUCAUAUGACCAAACCAUCUCAACCUUGUUUCCCUCAUCUUGGCUUUCACUGAAGUCACUCCUACCUUAUCUCAGAUAACCUCAUUUCUAAUACUAUCUUUUCUAGUACACCCACACAUCUACCAAAGCAUUCUCAUCUCCGCUACCUUCAUUUUCUGGAUGUGGGCCUUCUUAAAAGGCCAGCACUCUGCCCCAUAUAAUAAAAUCAGUCUAACUACCACUCUAUAAAAUUUUCCUUUAAGUUUAGGAGGUACCUUUUUGAUACACAAGAUUUUGGAGGCGAGCUUCUACUUCAUCCACCCUACCCUAAUCUAUAAGUGACAUCUUCGUCAAACUCUCCAUUCUCCUAAAUCAUAGACCCUAUAUACUUGAAACUAUAUCUCUUAUUGAUAGAAUGAGUAUCAAGAUUAACAACCAUAUUAGACUCAUGCUACACCUCACUAUACUUAUACUCCAUAUAUAUCGUCUUGGACCUACUCAACCUAAAUACAUUAGACUCAAGGGUUUGCCUCCGAACCUAUAAUUUAGUAUUUACUCCACUACAUGCCUCAUCAAUCAAGACCAUAUCAUUCAAAAAAAGCAAACGGUAAGGCACCUCACCUUGAAUUUGCCACAUCAAAACAUCCGUUACUAAGGUAAAAAGGAACGAACUAAGCAUCAAUCCUUGGUGUAACCCCAUCAAAAUAGGAAAGUGCUCCAAGUACCCUCUCCUAGUCCUAACCCGAGUCUUCGAUCCAUUGUACAUUUCCUUAAUCGCCCUAACAUACACCAUAGGUACACCUUUAGCCUCUAAACACCUCAAAAGAACCUCCCUAGAAACUCUAUCAUAAGUUUUCUCUAAGUCAAUAGACACUAUGUGCAAAUCCUUCAUUCUUUCCCUAGUCCAUCAGUCUCCAAGCGAGAUGGAUGGAUUUAUUAGUUGAGCAUAUUGACAUAAAUACAAACUAAUUUUCAGAAAUAGUAACGUUCCUCUACAACCUCAAUAUACCCCUAUAAUUAUUGCAAUCCUGAAUGCCACCCUUACUCUUAUACAAUGGAAUCAUCUACUCCACCUCCAAGCUUCAGGCAUCCUUGUCGUCUUGAAAAUUAUGUUAAACAACUGAGUCAACCACUCUAUUCCUGCCCCUCCUGUGCACUUCAAAAAUCCAUGGGAAUCUCAUCUAGCCCCAUCACUCUACCUCUACACAUCCAACGAAUAUCCUCCUUAACCUUUUCAAACUUAAUGCACCGCCAAUAACCAUAAUCGCAAAACCUUUUGGAAUGCUCCAAAUCCCUUAACACAAUGCUAGUAUCCCUUCUUUUAUUCAGGAGCUCAUGGAAGUAAGACUGUCAUCUCUUUCUAAUACGACCCUUCUCCACCAAAACUUUGUUGCCCACAUCCUUAAUACACUUCACUUGAUCAAGGUCCAGAGCCUUUCUGUCCCUAACCUUAGGUAGCCUAUACAACUUUUUUUCCCGAACUUUACUAUCUAACGUUGUGUAUAAACUCUCGAAAGCAGCAUCCUUAGCCAUCGGGACCGCUAACUUCACCUUUCUCCUAGCAAUCUUAUACUCCCAAUUUUUCCAUUUAUCCUCUUCAUCCUUACUCUCGGCAAACUUUGCAUAUGCUUUCUUCUUAGCCUCCACCUUCUUCUUCACCUCUUCAUUCCACCACCAGCUCCCUUGGUGUUUGCUCGAGAGGCCUCUCGAGACACCCAACACCUCUCUAGUUGCCUCCCUGAUACAACUGGCAAUCUUAUCCCAUAUACUAUCAGCAUCCCCUCCACUCUCCCAAGCCUUCCCCUUCAUCUACUUAUCCCUUAUAUCCAGUGCACUAGCCAAAGUCAGAUUGCCCUAUCUAAUACUUAGAUGAUCCUCCAUACCUCUUCUUCUCCGUUCCUUUAUGAUCUCCAAGUCCAUCACCAAAAGCCAAUAUUGGGUCAAAAGAUUCUCAUUCGAUAAGAUGUUACAGUCUUUACAAAUACUUCUAUAUCCUUUCCCAGGGAGUAAAAAGUCAAUCUGGGUCUUGGCUAUUGAAUUACGGAAGGUACCAAGUGAACCUCCUUCUUGGGAAAGUUUGAAUUAACUACCUACCACCAAUCCAAAUGCCCGAGCAAAAUUCAAAAGUGACACUCCUUCGUCAUUCCAUAUACCAAACCCACAGCCUUUAUGCACAUCAUCAUAACCCCUUGAAGAAGACCCUAUGUGCCCAUUGAAAUCCCCUCCUAUAAAAGCCUUAUAAUUACUAGGGACAUCUCUCACCAUCUCGUCCAAAGCCUCCCAAAACCUUUUCUUCUCAUCCUCAUCCAAGCCUAUAUGCGGCGCAUAUGCACUAAUAAUAUUCCAAGAAGACUCUCCAAUAACUAGUUUAAUUGAUAUCAUCCUAUUGUCGACCCUCUUAAACUCUAGGAUACCUACACCAUUCCUGUUCCUCACGCUUCCUGAGUACCACAACUUAUAACCAUCUAGUACCCUCGCCUUAGUACCUACCUAUUUGGUAUUUUUGAGACAAGCUAUAUUAAUUCAAUUUUUUUCUAAGAAUUUUCACUAGCACUAAUGAUUUCUCUAAUAAAGAACAUAUUUUCCACGAUCCUACUCUCAACUUACAACCACCUUUAGCCCUUUUACCCUUCCUUCUCCCUACCCUACCCCGACCCCAACCCCAGCUCCACCCAAAGACAUGGCCCUAAGUCAAGACCAUUUUCCAAAACCAUCAGAGACUAGAGACUGCACCAACCAAUAGCACUAAGAGCACACAUUCUAGACAAUAAUGUAAACCAAAAAUGUUACUAUCAAGCCCACACUACAGAACUACUAAGGACAAUAAAAAUAAAUAAAACGCAAGUAGAAUUAACAAGUAAAUCACUACUAUGAAAUAUAGAAAUAAAUAAGUAAAUUGUCAUCCAUAGACAAGAUAGUCAGCGAAGGCGCGAAGAUAAAAGGGAUUGAAGUACAAAUAGUACACAAGACAGACAGUAGCAGCCACUAGAAUCAAGAAAGCUAUACACACGACUUGAAGAGAUGGAGUGAGUGCACUUGAUUGAAGUUGGGUCAAUUUGCUUGGUCGAGUCAUCAAAUUUUGAUAAUUUACAAUAAAAAUUGGUUGCAGAAAUCUUGACGUCACCGUUUGAGAAGAGGUGUCAGAUCUGGACUUGUAGUACCUGUAAAGGGAUAGAAAGAAAAGAGAAGAAAGUUAUGGUCGCACGAGAAGUGAGGAAAAACAAUGAUUAGUUUCACUGGAAACUAGCGUCACUUGUCGAAAACUGAUAGGUCGCUAGUCUGACGAGAAGCCGCUAAAGUUUAGUGGUCGACACAAGAAGUGAGAGAAAUAAUGACAAUCCGCUUAUCCAAAAACUGACGUCACUCGACGAAAACUGAUGAGUUUGUUGGGUCGUAGAGAUGGGAUUGAAUCUUGGAUGGACAGAAGAAUUAACCGGAGUAAAGUCGCAGGUAACCAGUAGGAGUUGACCACGACGACGAUUAAAUAGAUGGACAAUGGAAGGAGUCGACCACGACAAUUGCCAUUUGUUUCAAAUCCAAAGUUGAGCAUUAGUACAAUUUUUGGAAAAUAUUUACAGAAGAUUUCUGCUCUUAACGGAAGAGCAAUUAACUCCAAUAAGUAAUGACAAUAUUUAAUGUGAGUUUAACGGGGUUAUAUUAGUCAAUCUGCACUCCUUAUUAAUUUCUCCUUAAGAGUUGUACAAAAGACAAACAUGUCAAGUAAUAUGACAUGAAGGGAAUGAUAUAUAACACAUAACUUGUUGAUUAUGUGAAAAUAUAAACUUAUGCUCCUCGGAAAAUCAACUUGCUUUGAGUGGCAAAUAUUAAAUGCCAACAAAAAGAAAAGAAAAAUCUUAUUUAGAGGUCUCGAGUACAAGUUUCUAAAAAAAAAUUCCUCUUAAAAGCAUUGUUCUAGUCUCCUAGAAAUGGACCUUGUUGUGCUCAAAUUCUUGACAAAAGUGACCCUAAAAUGUGCAAAUUCAAAUUUAAUCGAAUCCCAAAAUAAAGAUGAUGGUUCAGGUGAAAAAAAAAGAAAUAAUUGAUAGUUGGAAUGUGAAGCUUGUGAAAAAGUAAUAGUUUAGGUGAUUUUUUGACCAUUAAUUCUUAAGAGAAACUAUAUCAAGUGUGUUUUUCAAGCCAAGUAUCGAGCUUGUGAACUCUCAUUGCUUUAGGGUGUGUUUGGUAUGAAGGUAAAAUAUUAUCCACAGAAUUAUUAUUUCAAGAUUAUUUAUACAUUAUUUAGCAAAAAGCUCUAGAAGUGGGAUGGGUUAGGGUGUGGGGUCUUGAGGUUGAUGGGGUGGGAUGGUCAAGGGCAGAGGUAUCAAAAUGAACCCAAAUUGAGCUAACCUGUCCAACCCGUCCAAUAUUUAAUGGGUUGGGUUCAAGAUAAUUUACUAUUGAGUAAAUCUCAACUCAUUUUUAAAUUGGGUUCAAAUGAGCCCAAUCAAUCUCCACUUCAACCCGUUUGAUAAAAAAAAUAAUUUUCUUAAUGAAAGUAAGAAAAACAAGAAAUAAUAUGUCCUCCUACUCUCAAAAAGACCCACCACACCUCAUCCCCACCUCACCCCAACCCCACUACACCCCUAGCUUACCCUACUCACCCUGCCUCCAUUAACUAUAUUAUUUUUAAUUCUUAAAAAGUUUUUAUAAAUAUUUUUGCCCCCACCCCACCUAAACCAUUGCCCUCCCUACCCAGACUCCCACCCUCACCCCCUCCUCCACCCAAAAAAUUAAUUAUUUUAAUUUUUUUUUUUAAAAUUAACAAUCUUUUCUUACCUCACGAUCAAAAUCCUACCCUCUCCCCUUCGCCGCAUCCCCUACUCCUCCCAAAAAAAUUAUUUUUGUUGGGCUUGGGUGGGUCAAGGCCCAACCCAAUUUUUACCCAUUUCAACCCAAAAUAAAUUUGGGCGGGUCAUGACCUAACCCAGUAUCCAAUUCAACUCAUUUAAUAUUUUCAGUCUCAACCCAAUCCGCCCAUUUUCCCCAUGGCAUACCCCUUUCUCAAAAAGUUAUUUUUAAAAAAAAAAUCAAUCAUUUUUUUAAAAAAAAUUCUUACCUCUACCCAUCCUAACCCCCAACCUCCCGGUGCACCCCUCCCCAAAAAAUAAAUUUUUAUUUUUUUAAAAAUUAAAUUUUUAUUUUUAACUAAGUGGGUCAAAUUGGGCGGGUCAAGGUCCAACCCAAUUUUUAUCCCUUCCAACUCAACCCAAAGUGAAUUUGGGCGGGUCAUGACCCAACCCAGUAUCCAAUUCAACUCAUUUAAUAUUUUCAAUCUCAAUCCAUCCCACCCGAUUGACACCCCUAGUCAAGGGGUAGGGGUUGGUGGUAUUAAAUAGAGGACAUAAUAAACACAGAAUGCCACUUGUAGAACUUGUUUUUCCUACUUCCAUUAAGAAAAUUAUUUUCCUCAUUUUUAAGCAUCUUUUUUUACUAGCCAAGUUCUUCCGACUAACUUUUUGGAAAGAAUGUAGUUAAUUGAGGAGGCAGAGAGUAGUGUUAGUGUUGUCAUGUGGUUCGUUAUAUUGAAGUGUCAGCAGUGAUCUAGUAACAAUGAUGAUCUAUUUCUUUUAUUUUUGACGAAAGUUGGUAAUUGUGUAGGAUUCGAAAAAUCUUCAAUUUACGAUGCACAUUAAUAUACCCUCUUAAACUAUCUAUCUAUAGCAAAUGAGCUUCGGGAUACUAGAAAUGGACUCACCUUUGCAAGCUAAAUAUGAAGAUCUCGUCACUUGCUUAAUCUUCGAGAAAAUUAAUGGACCAAAACAAGAGUACACGGAAUUCAUCAUUGAAGAGCGCUUCCAGCAGCGCCAUUUAAGAAUUAUGUUAGGGAAGUCACAAUUAGAAAACCCUACUAUAGGGCAUUUUUAUAGUUGGGCAAGAACCAUUGGUGGAUCGGGUCUUGACUCUUCAGAUAUCUUUUUAUUUUCAUUUUUUGGGCUCACUUGAGUAAUUUUGAACAAACAUUACUUUUUUUAUUUAAUAAAACGGGUCAGGCCCAAAGUUAAUUUUUUUAAAAAAUAUAUAUAUCUCAAAAAAUCUUCUUGUUAUAUUUUCUUCUGAUGACGUUCAAACCCUCUCCUCAAAAAGAAGAAAGUAUACACAGUCGUCAUAAUAUAAUUUAUCCAAUUAUGAGUCAGGUUGAAUUCAAUAGGAAACAAUUUUUGAACAUAGUAAUUUAAUUUAAACUUGUAAUGAUCUAAUGUAGAGUUAAACCACCACUAAUUAUUGUGAAUCAAUUGUUCUUAGCCUCGAAUAAUAGUUCUUUAAUAGUUUGUCUCGAACACUAACAAGACCACUGGAAAAAGAAAAAACACUUUAUUACUUACUAACAGUCUAUUAAGAUUCUUGUUCUCCUAAUUUUCCUAUCUAGGAAUAGGGUCAUGUUCUCGAUGAACUACGGUUGUGUCAUAUUAUGUCUAUUCAUUUCUCCGUAAUUCUUCCUUGGUUGAUCUCAGAGGCAGAGCCAGCCUAUUAAUAAGGGGUUCAUCCAAACCUCCUUCGAUGGAAAAUUUUAUUAUUCAAAUAUGAUUAAAAUAAUUUUUAUUUUUAUAUUGUAUAUGUUGAACCCCUUGAAUAGAAAAUCUUGUUGUGCCUGUGACUGAUCUUUACCUCUCCUCGGACCUAUCACUGUCAAUCUCUUGCACUUCCUCACAAGGGCUUGUGCAUUUUUCCUCUUCACAUACUCGAACUAUCUCAACGCCGUUCUUGCAUCUUGUCUUUCACGAAAACUAUUUUCACAUUGUCCCACAUAUAUUUAUUAUUAAUCUUAUCUCUUCUAGCAUAUCAACGUAUUCCUCUAAGCAUUUUUAUUUCUGCUAUCUUCAUCUUUUGAGUCUGAGAAUUCCUGGCUGACCAUCAUUCCACUUCGUGUAAUAUAGUCGGUCUAACUAUCACUUUAUUAAAAAUUUUAAAUCACAAUGACACAUUCUCAAGUCAUCAAAGUAAGAUAAUAAAUUUGCUAGAAAUCUUGGAAUGAGUGAAUAAGAGUUUUGGAAAGACAAAAAUGUCACAAAUGUGACAAGACAUGACAAGUGUUCGAACAUCAUCCUGAAUUAGUUAAUUUCAAAUUAGUUGUCAUAUUCCGCUUCUAUAUAAAUUAAGUAAUAUUUUAAAAUAUAUAUUUUAUCAUAUUCAUAUGAUGAAAAAUUAUAAAAUACAUUUUUCCAUUGUAUUAAAUAAGAAUAUAUGAAUUGGAAAAAAAAUCCCUCUAAGUGAUUAUUCGACAAACCUUUCGAAACUUUUUUAUAUUGAGAAGUAUAUUUUGAAAAAUAAUAUAUAUCUUUUAAUAUUGUAGUAGUAUUUGAUUCAUUAUUUUUACAAUAAUUUUAUCAGAUAAAGAAUAUUACAUGUUUUAUCAGAAAAUUACAAUUUUUGAAAUUUUAACUGUAGUUCAAAAGUAAUUAGUGCUGACAAUUAAUAGUUCACAAAAAAUCAAACAUAGCACUGUUUACCUUUUAUCAUCUCAAAUUAAAUUUAGUAUAAUGUUAGAGAUAAUAAAAUUCAAAAUAAAUUAUAAAGAUUCAAACUCAUAUUUUAUUCAAUAUAUUCAACUCUUUUCUCCUUCAAGGUAUUACGUUCCUUGUAUAUCCUUUUUAGGUUAUAAUUUAUAAUGAUUUUAUAAAGCUUUUUUUAGUGAAUUAAAUGAUGAUUUUUGUAUUUGUUGAUGAAGUUCUCAUUUUUAGUUCUACAAAAUUCACGUGAUACAUAGAUAAAGAGAAGAAACUUAAGGUCUAGACAGCGGCGGACUUAGAAUUUUGAGUUCGUGGGUGCUCAAUUUUUUUAAAAAGGUAUAUUUACUAUUAAUUAUAUAGUAUAAGUGCACAAUUAUUUGAUGAUGACAAUGAAUAAAUUUGAUUAAAACUAUUCAUAUUUAUAUUAUAAAUAUCAUGAAUUUUUUACAAAAACACAAUCGCCGAAUAAAAAAAAUUGUUGGUUAAGAUAAUGUUCAAGGGUAAAAAAAAUAAAAUAUUUAGGGGUCAAACUUUGGUGUCUUUAAUUAUUUAUUUAUGAGGUCAACAUUAGGAUUUGGGUCAAAUAGCAGCAACAAAACAACUAUUUAUGAAGGCAUUGGAAUAAAGAACUAUUUAUGAAGCCAACAUUGGGAUAAAGAACUAUUUAUGAAGCCGACAUUAGGAUUUGGAUCAAAUAGUGGCAACAAAAGAACUAAAAAUUAUGUCAAAAAAGAACUUCAAUGGGCUUUGAACUCUCGCACGCUCUUACUAGAAAGUUUCCAUCACCAAUCCACUAAGUCAGAUUUAAUGUCUGUGGAUGAUUUCUGAUUUAUUAUAUCUUUUUUCUUCAAUUUCUAAUAUAAUUGUACCUAUUCUGAGUUAAGAUCAAUGGGUGCUCGAGCACCCAUUUUUUAUCUGUAGGUCUUCCCCUGGGUCUAGAAAGAGAAAAGAAUUGAAGAUCUCUGCAAAAAUGUAGGUAGUUAGAUUCAUCAUACGUAGUUACAUUAUCCUCGAUCUUAUAUGACUAGAGUUGGGAAGAACUUAAUAUAAACAGGCAAUUGUCUAAUUGUCAAUGCUCAAGUUGAGUGCUUAAAAAUCUAUAAUUUUAAAUUUUAUACCUAUUAUCACAUUAAUGUCUUUAUAUCCAUGAUCCUCGAAAAUUUCACUAAUAUAAGCCAUUUUCUCACAACAAUUUAAGCAUCUAAAGCAGAUAAAUUAAUAUGAUUAAUAUUUCUUGGUUGUUUAACUUUGAGAUCCAAUCUGAUCCAUUCUUAACAUAAUGCGAGCACAACAGUUUGCUAUAGGAGUGAAACUCAAUUAAAUUUAAAUUAAAUAUUUUUUUGAGAUGAAUAUAAAUCAUACCUAGACUUAACAAGUUUUCUUCAUUCUUUUUGAGAUUCUGCAAUUGAUCUUAAUUUUACAAGUAAAAAACUACAUAUUAUUUGAGAUUUGGUUCAAUUCACUUUUAAGUUUUAUGAUUAUAUGUAUAUAUUAAAUGAUAAUAUUUCAUUACUUCACAACUAAUUAAGAAUUUAAUAAUGUCAACAUUUUUACUCACGCUUUAAUAGAUAGAGAUACAAAAAUUAAUUUUGAUAAUAUAAAAAAAUAUAUAAAUAAAUUCUACUGAACUUUUUAAAGAGCUUAUACAGUGUUCUACCUUCUAUGAAAGUAGGUAUAGAAUAUGUAGCUCAUGGUGAAAAAUAUAACUACCAAACUAUCAAACUCUAAAAUUAUCGCAGAAAUUCAUAAAAAAAAAUGAUAUAUAUUACUUUCAAUUUGAGAAAGUUACAAGUUCACACUGCUACCAAAGCAAGUCAUUUAAAUACUUACAAAAAGCUAAUUAAUCUUCAAGAAAAAACUUUAUAAAACAUAACUAACAUUACCACAACUAGCUUAUUUAUUAAUUUCUUAUUGUUAAUUUUGUUUCUCCAAAAAACUCACGACUUUCAAUUUCUCUCCAGUAAUAGAAAAUAUUUGUGCUAUUUUUAUAACAACGAUAUUAGGGGAUCUGAAAAGUCUGAAUAAACUUAAUUUUAACUAUUCUGCUGAGCAAUUAAUCACAAUUAAAAAGAUCUUAAAAUUAUUAGGAUUAGAGCAAGACCAAUUUCAAGAGAGAAACAAUGAAGAAAACAUAACAGUACGAAUCUAAACAUGAUAUAUCACAAAAAACAGUGAAACUCACAAAAAGAAAGAUAGAAGGUCGUUAGAUCAUACUACAGACAUCAGGAAUUACGCUAUUUAUAACAUCGCAGAAAGUUGGGAUACAUAAUAUAACAAUAUUUAAACUUAUAAAGAUGUAAAGGCGACCCAAUUUAUCUCAAAAAAGACACACCUCAUCAAAAGAAUGAAAGAUCCCAAAUAAAGAUGGUUGUACAACAAAAAAAGAUGGAAUCAAAGCUCAUAAAAGACAGAUCUGGCGGUUAAAAUGAAGAAGAAGAAAGAUCAGGCUCAUAUGAAAUACAGACUAAAAAAUGAGGAUUGAAGAUACUCACCAAGUUCAUCUAAGUUGAAGUUAAACGAAGUCCUUUCGAAUCUACGGAUUGUGGUGAAUUUUCAUAGACAAAGGACAAGAUUUGAAGUCUAUAAUGGCUCUGAUACCGAGAGAGAAUAGAUCUUGAAAGAAUAAGGAGAGAAAUAACUUUUCAGCGCUGGUGGGUCAAUGAAUAUAGGGAAAACCCAGCCUUAUAAAGCCCUAAAAAAUUAUUCUACAACUUAGAAAUAAACUCAUUGUUUAGCGGUGGUGUUAGAAACAAACUCUAAUAUUUGUGUUGAAAUAAAAAUGUAUUGGGUCGUUUUGGUUGUUACUUUUGAUCCUUACGUGGAAUUUGAUUGAACUGCAGAUUUUAGCUCAACUUAAGGGCUAAAUUUGGUUUCCUUUUGGGCUCUUUUGGACGCAAUUUUGGAUCUCUUCAAAACUAAAUUUUAGUCCCCAAUAUUUCUAUUCUUAGACUUUAAAUUGGGCCUCUAAAUAGCUAUCGCAUUUUAACAAUUCAUUUUUCUUGGACUUGAACUCUUCUUCCCCAAAAGAACACCUUUCAAUUGGCUAUUGUCGUGUAAUCGAUAAGUCACGAGUUUAACCAAGCAAUUAUUAGGUCAUGAGUUCAACCGAGCAUUACUAAUGAUGUUAGCAUUAGAAUAGAAUAUCUACAUCGUAUCACUUACAAUAUCAUUCUUUCUCUAAUUUUGCUGGGUCUCCCUUUUUUUUUACUUUAGAAAAACAUCAGAUAAAUUAAAACAAUAAUUAAACUAUCAUUCACUGAGCGACACUUAGCAAAUCUUAUUCAUGCUUUCAUGAAAGAUGAAGAGUCAUGACUUGUAGGUAGCAAGUUCAAACAAUUACUUACUAGCUCACAAAUUUAAACAAGCAAUUAUUAGAUGCCAAAUUCAAGCAAGUAAUUACUAGGUGACAAAUUCAAAUAAAGUAAUAACAAAGUUAUAUCACUAGCCAAAUGGAAAUGGCAAAUCUUAUUUAGGAUUUUAUGUGAGCAAUUACUUGCUAACAAACCCGGAAAUACAAUUAGUGAGUCACAAUUCAAGCACAAUAAUUAUACGAUCAUGAGUUCAAGUAAUUUACUAAUACAAUUUAUAUUAGUGUAAACUAUCUGCAUCACUCCCGUUCGAGUAUCUCCUUUUCUCAAAUCCUAAUGAAUGUCUUAAAUACAUAUAAUUUUACAAAGAUCCACUGAUUCAAAAACUCAACAAUAAUAGUAACUGAUUAUUUUUUAAUAUAAUCUUUCCAUAUAAUAUAAACAAUCUAUUUUACAUCGUGCAUAGUUUUUCUGUGCAAAAUUUAAGGUGACGAAUUAUAAAAUAUAAAAUUAUCAAUUAAAUUUUACCUUUUUAUUAAAAAAAUAAUCACAUUUGAAAUUCUAUUUUUUGGAAAAUUUAAAUUAGUUCUAAAAUUAAUUAAAAAAUUGGGCAAGUUUAUGUCAAUGGGUCUAUGGUAUUUCUUGUUUUCCUUUUCCACCUUCACUUUACCAAUAAUAAGAAUUUCUCAAUCAUGUCUUGAAAAAGUCUUUGAUAGGCUGGAAUGAUCCUUCAUUAGGCAAGCCCUAAUUUUUUUCAAUUUUCCCCUGGGCUCUGCAAACUUAUCAUGUCGUGCAUCUCCACAUCAUCUAUUUACAUCCUUAUCAAUGGGGGCUACACAUCUAGUUUCAAGCCUUCCAGGGGAAUAAGAAAGGGCGAUCCCCUAUCUUCUUACAUUUUCAACCUUUGUAUGGAGCUUCUGUCUAGAAGGAUGAAUCAUAAAGUGGACACUCUUCAGUGGAAUCCCAUUCAGAUUAACCGUAGAGGCCUAAAAAUCUCUCAUCUUUUCUUCGUGGAUGACCUUACCCUAUUUGAUAAAGAUGACAUUCUCAAUUAUACUACCAUUGCUAGAACUCUUGCCAUCUUCAACACUCACUCCGGCCAAAAAUUUAAUCUGGCCAAAUCUAAGGUGUUUUUCUCCUCCAACUGCCACACCUCUACUAAGGAUCAUCUCUCAUUUUCUCUUGGCAUUAAGGCCAACAACUCUUUUGGGAAGUACUUGGGCUUUCCCAUUUUCCAUGGCCCUCCUAAAAUCAAUGACUUCUAAUUCAUUCUAAAUAAUUUAAGUGCCAAAUUAGCUGAUUGGAAAGUCAAAUUCCUAAACAUGGCCGGUAGGACCACUCUUGCCAAGGCUAUUCUGGGAAGUAUCCCCAACCAUGACAUGCAGUAUAUCCUUCUUCAGAUUCAUAACCUUAUUUAUAAGGCCUAAAGAAACUUCAUCUGGGGGACUACUGACUAAAAAAAAAAUGCACACGGUUAGGUGGGACACUAUCACCCAACCCAAACACUUGGGUGGUCUUGGGAUACAAAAAACUAGUAUCAAGAAUGACACUUUGCUUUGUAUUUUAGCCUGGAGACUACAUCUAAUCCCUAUACCUUAUGGGCUAGAGUUCUUACCCAAAGAACACACCUAACAUCGGAAGACACAUUUCCUCCCAUUCUAGAAUCUGGAGGAAUGUUCAUAGAGCCUGGAACCUCUGUCAUAAUUUUUCCCAAUGUUUUGUUUAUAAUUGCCAAAAAUUUAAUAUUUGGAGAGAUAGAUGGGUCCCUAAUCACCCUCCUUUAUUCUUCAUUAUUCAAGGACCACUUCCCAAACCCUGUCCCUCCUUGUAACUUUCUUCCUUUUGGCAAAAUGAAGUCUGAAAUCUUGAUUCCCUCCUUUUUGACAUUUCCAACACAAUUAAAUUUGACAUCCAAAACUCUUUCCUGCCUAACUAUAAAAGUCAAUCUGACACUCCUCUCUGGCUUCCCACCAGGAACAGAGUCUUCUCUUGUAAGAUUAUCUACCAUCACUUAUUCUAUCAAAGGCAGUACUCAAGUCAUAGCCACCCUCAGCUAGGUUGGAUUGUCAAACUGUAGAUUCCUAACAAAAUCAAGUUCUUUCUUUGGCUCCUCUACCAUGACAACCUUAGCACCAAUUCUACUUUGGACUAUAAGGGUUUAACAUCCUUCCUUACUAUCAUAAUUGCAACCAUCAGCUGGGAGAUGUUCCUCACCUCUUCUUCAAUUGUCUUCAUGUUGUUUCCUUCUGGAAAGACUUCAUUCAAGGUUAUAAAGGAGACAAAGACAUUCCCCCCAAAUUUUCCACCCUUCUAGAUGGAAUAACACUUGGAAGGUUUUUAAGGAUUCUAGUUAUGACAACCUUUGAGAUUGGGAAACCUUACUUCUAUUUUUUUAUUGGACCAUCUGGAAGAAUAGGAAUUCUAAUGGGUUUAAUAACCUUACUUCCAUUUUUUCAUUGGACCAUUAGGCAGUCUUACAAAAUUGCCUACUCGAAAUUCUUUCAUCUAAAAACUCACCCAACCCCUAAGCUCAUUAGCACUAUAGAAGUCAACUGUAUUUCCCCAGGCACUUCUAUAAUCUCAACACAGAUGGGUCUAGUUUUGGAAAUCCUAGUAGGGGUGGCAUAGGAGGUAUUAUGAGGAACUCUAAUGGUGACUAGAUCUUGGGCUUCUCUCAGAGUUUUUUUCAUGCCACUAAUAAUUUUAUGGAACUUGUUUAAUGCAUGACACUAACAAUUUUAUUGAACUUCUAGCUCUUAGAAAAGGCCUGCAGCUAGUUUUGGAGUAUAAUCUCAACCCCAUUGUUAUAAACAUUGACUCUGAAGACGUGAUGCAUUUGCUUUAAAAUGUAAAAUCCACUCUUUAACCUUUACAUUCAUGAUUGCAGGUUGAUGCUAAGAAGGCUAAGCAGACCCCUUGUCCAACAUAGCUACAGGGAACAGAACAAAGUAGCGAAUGUUCUGGCAAAGGAAGGUGCAAAAAAUAACUUUGUGGAAAACUAAAAGAUUUUUGUUGCUCCUUUCCCCCACCCCCACCCCCUUGUAUACCAUACAAUAUGGGAUGAUAUGCAAGGGAAAAGUUUCUGUAGGACAAUUUCUAACCUGCAAAUGCUUGGCUACACAAUCUUCAAAAACAUAAUAUUACUAUUUAAAAAACUAUCCAUAUUCAGCAACUAUGUGCAUGCCUCACUCUUCUAAUCUGAUUUUUUUCAUCAAUCAACCCAUUCCCGGUCUCUUCUCUUUCUCUCUUUAGUAUUUUUUUCAUGACAGAUUCAGAAUUUAAAGUUGUGAAUUUCAAAUUUUAAUUCUAUUCUGAGUUAGUUUAAUAUUAUAAUUAAAAAACACUAGGUGGUUAUUACCAUCUGUUAUAGUUUUGGUGGAUGGUAACUAUUGAUAGUGGGAGGUGAAAGACAUUCAGUGGAAUAAGUCAAAAUGCACGUAAGCUGGCACAACAUGCAGUUAUAAUAAUAAUAAUAAUAAUAAUAAUAACAAUAACAAUAACAAUAAUAAUAACACUAAUAAUAAUAAUAAUAAUAAUAAUAAUAAUAAUAAUAAUAAUAAUAAUAAUAAUAAUAAUAAUAAUAAUAAUAAUAAUAAUAAUAAUAAUAAUAAUAAUAAUAAUAAUAAUAAUAAUAAUAAUAGUCCCUUCCAUUCAAAGUUUUGAUGUAUCUUUUUAAUUCAUUUUUUCUUUUUUAGCAACUUUCUAAUUUCAAUUUCUCAUAUGACAUGUUUAAAGAUAUUUUUGUACAUUUGACAUGUCUAUUACAAAAUUCAGAAAUCUUCUUAAUUUACUUAAACUUAGUGUCAAAUCAUCAAUUUGAAACGAAGGGAGGAAUAAUUUAGUGACAGAUAUAAGAUAUAGGUUAAAGUUAUUAAGUUCUCUCCAACUCAUCAUAUCUUUCUCAUUUACUUAGUUGUUCUAUGUAUCUUGUUAUUUUGUUGCCGUUAUUUUUUUCUUUUAAUUUUGUUUUGAUUACAUCUUUUUUUAGUCAAUGUAUAUCCAAAAAGACCUAUCUAUCCUACAAAGAUAGGACUAAGAUCUGUCAACGUCGUAACCUCCUUUAGUUACUUAUGAGAUUACACCACAUAUGUUACUGUUGAUUUAAUUAUUAUUUUUUACUAUGUAUAUCAUUUGGCUAUUAACCUCCUUUGUCUCUUGAAUUUUCUAAAUUUAGAAUCAAAAUACAAUGCCUGUUAGAUAUAAUUUAAGUUGAAUCCAACUAUCUUUGUCACAGAGUAUUAGAUUCAGUUGAACUCGUUACUUUUAUUCUUUGUCGGUCUACACAUGGUUAAGUUCAAUCUAUUAUAUCUGUCAAAUGUAUUUGAUUCAAUUGAACCAGUUACAUUUAUUCUUCUUCAUCCUACUUAUACUUUGAGUUGAGUCUACUGUCUUUGUCAAAAGUAUAAGAUUCAGUUGAAUUCGUUACUUUCAUUCUCCGUCUACCUACACAUAGUUUGAGUUGAUUUGUCUUGCACUGUCAAAAGUAGUCUGUCUCUUUCAAAAGUAUUAGGUUCAAUUGAACUUAUUAACUUUUAUUCUUCAUCCGCCUACUUAAAUUUUAAGUUUUUUUUGUUGUCUUUGUCAAAAGUAUUAGAUUCAGUUGAACUCGACCCUUUUUAUUCUUCAUCCACCUUUUCAUAUUUUGAGUUGAAUCUGUUGUCUCUAUCAAAUGUAUUAGGUCUAGUUGAAUCCAUUACUUUUAUUUUCUGUCUGCCUACACAUGAAUCUUUUUGUCAAAAGUAUUAUAUUCGAUUAAACAUUAUUUUUAUUCUUAGUCCUCCUACUUAUAGUUUUCAUGAAUUUGUUGUCUCUAUCAAAAGUAUUAAAUUCAUUUGAAUUCAUUAAUUUUGUUGUUCAUUUGCCUAGACAUAGUUUGAGUUGAGCCUGCCGCCUCUCCAAAUUUAUAAAUUCAGUUGAACUCAUUAUAUUUAUUCUUUGUCCGCCUACAUAUUGUUAUAGUUGUUUUUGUUGUCGUAUGUUGUUGUAUUAUAUUCAGUUGAACUCAUUAUUUUUAUUCUCCGUUUGCCUACACAUAGUUUGAGUUGAUUCUAUUACCUCUAACAAAUGUAUAGAUUCAGUUGAACUCAUUACUUUUAUUCUUCGUCCACCUACACAUUUUUUGAGUUGAUUUUGUUGUCAUAUGUUGUCGUAUUAGAUUCAGUUGAACUCAUUACUUUUAUUCUUCAUCCACCCACACAGUUUUUGAGUUGGUUUUGCUCUCGUAUAUUGUCGUAUUAGAUUCAUUUGAAUUUGUCCCUUCUAUUAUUUGUGCACCUCUACAUAGUUUGAGUUGAUUUUGCUAUGGUAUUUUUUCGUAUUUGAAUCUAUUACUUCAAUUCUUCGUCCACCUCUACAUAAUUUGAGUUGAAUUUGUUGAAAUCACUCUAAAUUUACCUCAACUUUUUUUUCAACUGGUUGCUCAGUUCCGCCAGCAAGCAAUGCAGAUGAGGUACUGCGUAUUUCAUAGCCAAGAUUUCAAAAAUAUAGCGAAAUGCAAGAAGCUAUUAUGAAUUUAUGAUAGAAAUGAAUAGGAUAUAGAGACAAUUAUUAUUGAAUGAAAGUGAAUAAAUUUUUAAACCCUGGGGGUUGUACUACACAGUGAGGGACUAAGUCCCUCAAGGUCAAUCAUAGGCAAAAACUAGUAAAAUAGCCAGGAAUCAAAAGACAGUGCAGGAAGAGUAAAAAACACAAGAUUUUAAUGUGGAAACACCAUUGCUCAAGGAAGGGAAAAAUCAUGGCUUGCCCUCAAAAGCACUUCAAAAUUCACUAUAAUCAAACUCUUGAUUACGUCCUUUACUGAACCUAACUAUAGGUUCCUUUCGCUUGUAAUAACUCUAUUAUAAGCUCAUCUUGACAACUUUGCCAAGGACUCUGUACAUUGAUUAACUCCAAUCAGUAACAAGCUUAGGCAUAUCUACCUAAGCACUUCUCUUAUCAAAGAAUAACACUACUCUUAUAACAUGAGUAGUUCAAUUACAAAUCAGAUCUCACUCAAGAACAAUUUCUAUUUAAGCAUACAUAAUCAGCUAAGAACUUGAGCAGUGUUGAAAAAUUAGACUUUUGUUGCCUCUCUUCACUCUUUGUAAUUGCAAAAAAUCAUUUGAUGAAGAAGCAUCUUUUCCUUUUAUAGAUGAGUGAUGAUUAGUGCUGAAAAAGAUUGGUCCAGGUGCCCCAUUCAGUGCUAGAAACACCUGAAAGUUUGUUACAUAAGAAGACAAAACUUGUGUAGACGCGCAUGUAGGAUCUGUUGUUCCAUAUACAUCCAGGUAUCUGGUCCCUUGCAACUAGCUGCUCAUUAUCAAAACUAUAUAUAGAAAUUUCCCCCCUUUCUGAUGAUGACAAACCAACCAUACAACUGUAAGCAUCAAUACGCAUCCAUCAUAUUUAAUCAAUAUGAUUACCACUCUAGAGAUGAAUUUUCCCCCUAUCAUUAUGCUUCCACCAUCAUGCAAUAUAGGGACCUAGUCCCUGGUAGUCAUUUGUGGUAAAACCUUCUCAGCACAUGUUUGCUUUCCCUAUCAAUGUUGUUAUUUACAACAUAUGUUUUGCUCUUCUCGUCACUGUGUCUUACCAUAUCAGUAACAUGAGCACACACACACUUGAUCCUCACAUAUGAAAUCAGUAUUCCCCCUUUUACCAUCAUUGAAAAGAAUCAACAGUAAACCAAGAGUAAAGAUAAGUAUAAGAUAAUUAACUCAUGACCGCUGGGGCGACACUAACAUGAAGAAUAUCUUUAAAAUAAAUCUAAAAUAAUUAGCUUUAACAUUCACUAAUUAGGAUAAAUACCAUAACAAUAUUCAAAAAAUAAUUAUAAAAAGUAUUGUUUGCAAAGGACAUAAUAGAAACUGACUCAGGAAGUUGACACAAUAGGACUCAGGUAGAAGGGGGUUUAGGGGAGAGAGAUUUUAGUAACAUCUCCAUUCCAGCAGCCCAAACAGUAUGAACAUUCAGUAAUUGCUUGGUGAGAGUUCAUACUUCAACAUCAUUCCUAUGAUUUCACCAGUCAACUCUACAAUUUAGGCCUUGAGUUUUUCAUUUUUUUCUAUAAGUUUUUCAGUGGUACCAGGUCCCUUAGGGACUUUCUUUCUUUUGAUAGCACUAUGUUUCUUUUUUCUUAUAGCAGGACUACUAGACUUUGGAUCAGAGGACCUGGUCCUCUCAGCAACAUGAACUUCUUGUAUUUUCUUCCUAGUUACAAUUACAAUAUUAGUGUUAAUAUCCUCAUCUAACCCAUCCCCCACUACUUAAAUAUACCCCUUUAACUAUGACAAUUUUUUUGAGUCUUCUUCUUUCGGUGGUAGAGGACUUACUUUCCUUCAUGGCACCUACUAGUAAAUUUUGUGCAGAUCUCCUAGUGGAAUAAGAUCUAGCACCUUCUACACCAGUUUCAAUAAUUUUCUCCUUUCCUUUACUGUCCUUAAGUUUCUUCAUUUUCCAAAUCAGAUGUUGUUCAUCAUCAUCCUUUUCAUUUUCCUACUUUGGGGGUAAUACAAACUCUCUAUCUUCUUUCAACUCAAUUUUUUCUCCUGUUAUUUAACAUUCCCCACUAGCACAACCUUUCUUGGGAUCAUUUCCAAGUAAAAGUAAAUUUUCAGCUACCAAAUUUAUGUUGCUGAGAGAACCAAAUUUCUUUACAAGAAUCUUUUCAUCAAUAUGAUUAGCAAAUAUAGAGUUUGACUUAGAAAGGGUAGGAGAACCAGGUCCUUAUAAAAUUAUCUGAAAUUUUAGUACCUUUCAAUUCCUUAGAGGGAACCUGGAUUUGAGUGGCAUUAGAGGACUCUGAUUUUUCUAAGGAAUGAGGUCCUUUAGAUUGAAGAAUCUUUUGCUCUUUUGGAGAGCGAUAACCUUUGUUUAGGUUAUCUAUUUGGACAGAACAUUCACUGAGGCUUAGAGUUUCGGCUGGAAUGUCUUAAGAAUCUCACGGAAAGGACUAACGACUGACACUCUUUAUGGAUCUUGAGAAUUAUCAGCGGGUAAAUCUUUCAGGGGGCUUGAAGGGGAGGAAAUUUCAGACAUUUUGAGAUUUUUUGAGAUAAAAAGAGGAGGGACCAGUUUUGAUAAAGUUUUGAGUUAAUUGAGAAGAGAAUGAAUUAAGUGGAAUUGAAUUUAUAAUUUAAAAAUUAAUUGUUUGACAUAUAAUAGAUACCUUUUUGAAAUGAUGCAUCUGAUGAGAAUGGUUGUAACUCUUCACAUUUAAACCAAAUUGACAGCUUUUGUUCAUAUGGGAUUGGACAAGUGGCCCUUUUAAAAUAGAAAUUUUAUAAAAAAAUUUAAGGCACAUUAUUUUGGUACUCACCUGAGAGAUAGGACUAGGUCCCUCUCUUUCUUGAGUGAAUUUUUAGCUUGUGAUUUCUUCAACUAUUUUUUUCCAAAGCUGUUCCCAUGGGUGUAUAUCUACAAAGGUAUAAUACUAAGUUAUAUUAACAUGCACUUACUUUAUCAUAGAUACCUGUCUCCUUAAUAUAUCCAAUUUUGUGGAGUGACACUGACUCAGAUCUUAUGUCAGGGCAUUUUGAUCAAGCUCAGUCUCAAUUUGCUCUUUUAGAGCAGGUUUGAGGACCAAGUUCUAGAUUUUUUCUUCACUCAUACUGCCUCAAGUUUCUUCUUUUUGGAUGAAUUCCUUUGGGACCCAGGUCCUUGUAAUCAUCUCUUACAAAGUGAGACACUUCCACAUUGAAGUGUCUUGAGAUUGACAAUUUAAUUAGAUCUUUAAAAAUUGAGUAUACAACGCCACUAUUAACACACAUUUCCUAACUGCAAUCCCCUUUCUCAUACCUGAAUUCAUGAUCACAAGGUGGAUUUGCUGUAACACGUCAUAAAAUUUUCCAUGCGUUAGCUCGUGGUAAUAUGCGCUUAGAGUUAAAUGACUAGAAUAGUGUCAAAGAGACUUAGUCUUUUUUUUUGGCUUCCAAAAUGAGUAAAGUUUAAACCAUAUAUAAUUUCCCCAAUUUCGAAUUUUUAUCAUGUGAAAAAUUGAAUGAGCUUUCUGUCGAUAUAAGAUUCUCCCAAAUCCGAUACCCGAGCAAAAAGUUAUGGCUAAUUUAAGUUCUAGUUGUAAAUCACUGUCAUUUUGGUGCUUGGUGCAUCGCGAAGGGGGCCUAUUUAGAAAUUGUCAAAAUCCAGUAGAAUAGAGAAUUAUGGCAUGUCGCACUGAAGUUUUAGGUCCCAACCAGUGGGACAACGCGAUGGCUCCGCAUCGCAGUGACCUUCAGAAUCCCAUUCGUCAAUUUCCAGUGAGCCUCCGUGAUUGUGGCGCGUCACGGUGCCCCAUGAAAUUGGGCUCCCAGUUAUAUUUGUAUUCCAUCUCAUUAAGCGUACAUUAGGUAUUUUCCACCCUCUUAUCAGGUUAAACACGGGAUUUUUAUCCCAAAUGACCUCAUUAUUUAUAUUUUCAUCAAAAACCAUCAAGAACACUCCUUAGGAUUUCAAACAAGAAAAUCCAAACAACUCAAGAUGCAACCAUGGCUUUUAAAAUUUGAUUGAAGAUUUGGAAUCCUCAAGCCAUGGGCACAAAGAAUCAUCCUUUAAAUUUCUAAAUAGAGGUACGUGGGGUUAAUCCCAAAAAUGUAUGGGCUUGUUGAAAACACUCAAUUAUGAUUUAUAGAUUAUAAAGCAUGAAUUUGUUAAAGGGGUUUGAAAUCCAUGAUUUAAUUAUGCUUUAUGCAUGUUAUUGAUAUUGUUGUUUUGGCCUUUAGGCCUCAUCCCUAAAUUGACUUAGAAGUAUAUGUAGAUGUAUGAAAUUGACAUUUAAGAUUUGUUUGAGAGCACAGAUUAUGAAGUCCCUCUCUUGUGAUAAAUUCAAAUUUAUGAUCUUAUUGUGAAUGAUUUGAAAUGCAUGUUUUAUGGAUCGAAAAUAGUUUACUCAAAUGCCAUAGUAUUUUGAGCCUGAUUUAGAGAUUUAAGAGACGGAUUUUCUUGAUGUAAAUAUAUUUUGUUAAAAGAGAAAGAUUUUCAUCACAUUAAGAGUUUUGACAUGGCCACCUUGCAUCAUUGAAAGUUUGACAAAGAGAGUUGCAUAAAUGUGUUGACAUGAGUUUUAAAGAAGGAGUUCUUUGAAAUGAUUUAUUGAUAUGGUGGUCCCGAAUUUGUUUUGAAAACAAAGAUUGUAAUAUGCUAAUAAUUGCUCAAAAAUAUGACUUGUAAGUCAAUGGUAUGACGAUACCAUAAGUAUGUAUGCCAUAAUAGAGUAUGUAUUCAGAAUAUGUUUUCAGAGAAUACAUGUUUUAAAGAGUUAAAAAUGGGCUUAAUGAGGGCUAGGUGGUUACCCGAAGAAGGCUUGAGUUCAAGUAACUCUUAGCCUGAAAUCGUGAUUUGCUAAUUCGGGUAUAUUAUUUUUACGUUGGCGAUGGUUGUGUGGCGUAGCAGAGUCAGAGACUCCAACCGUUGUAUCACACUUGGGUUUGAGGUUUCCUGUCAUGUCAAUGGCGGAUUCCAUAUGGCCCAUGGAAUUUCAGAGUUGUAGGGUAUACCACCUAGCGCAGAAGUAAAACAAAGAAUGUCUCAGAGUUCAGAUGAUUUUCUUUUAGAGUCUUUCAAAAAUGCCCAUGAGAUUUCUUACUAUAUGAUAUGUUUAUGAACUGUUUUUAAAUUGCUCUCAUAUAUAUUGAAUAUAAACAAUUAUUUUGGAUUUGCUCUAUGUACUAGUACAUUUGUAUUAACCCCUUACCUCCUCAGUCUAAGGGUCCAUCUAAUCAGUAGAGUAUCCCAGAGAGAAAAGAUCUAUACAGUGGUGAGACUUCUUUAUUCCAGAAGGCCUAUUAUUUUAGAUUAUGUUAUUCUGUUGUUUUGAUCUACUGGGGCCUUGUCCCAGCUUUCAGAUAGUUGUCAGAUUUUCAUGUAGUAGAGAUUUUGUAGACUGUUCCAAUGUUGUUUAGUUGAGUUUGGAUUUCAUUCCUUAUUUUUAAACUAAAUACAUAGUAUGACAAUGUUUCCGUAUCAAAUUAUAUUUCCGUAUAUUCUUUUAUUAUGUGAAUGUUUUGCAUGAUUACUAGAUAGAGUAGGAUGUUUGAGCCUUCAUGGAUCGAGAUGUCCAUCACGUCCAAGCCCUAGUUCUGGUCGUGACAAACUUUUUAUCAGAGCACGGUUCAUGGUCCCCGGUGUCUGCGAAAUAGCGUCGGGUAAAAUCUUGUUUAAGGGUAUGCAGAGCGCCAUACUUAUAAGCAGGAGGCUACUAGGCGUUUAGGAAUGUUUCCCGUCUUUGUAAUUUAGUUCAUGCUUUGGAGUCUAAUCUGUGCUCUAAUUCGUGAUAUCUUGCAUUUCAGAAAAAUAAUCAUACCUCCCUGUCGUACUAACGAUCAGAAUGUUAAGACAGAUAAGGUCCAUCCCAAUUAUGGGAUGAGGACCCGAAACAAAGCUCAAACUCCAGAGAUUGAUACUUCUCUGGGAGUCCCACUUACUCAGACCAACCCACCUAGGGCACCCAGAGCUCUCUGAACGGGAACUAACCAUACUUACCCACGCGAGAGAGGUAUCUAAUGCAGAAUUCAGACAGUCCAUUCACAUGCUUUCCCAAUUGGUAGCCACACAGACUCAAUGAUCGAAAUAUAUUGGGUAUACAUCUAUUAAGUCUUAGGCUACAAGACUGGGCCAGUUCAUGAGGAUAAACCCACCCAAGUUUACUGGUACUAAGGUAGAAGAGGAUCCACAGGAGUUUAUGGAUGAGAUGGAGAAGAUCUUUAACGUGAUGCAUGUAGAUGAGGUAGAGGGGAUUGAGUUAGUAUCUUACCAUCUUAAGGAUGUAGUGAACCAAUGGUAUAACGAUUGGGAAGAUUCAAAGAGUAAGCAUUUAAGCCUUCCUUGAUUGAUUCUUUUCUCUCGAGCUAAGGGAGGCCAAAGCCGAAGAGUUUAUGAAUCUUAAAUAGGGUAAGAUGAGUGUCCAAGAGUACACUCGAGGUUCAACCAACUAGCCAUUAUGCUCCAGAGAUGACUAGUAACAUGAGAUCCCGAAUGAGGGAAUUUGCAACCGGCCUUUCAGAUGACUUAGAGCUUGAAUGUCAGGGACCAAUGUUGAAUCGGGACAUGGAUUUUACCAGACUAUCAGUCCACAUACAGCAAGUUGAGGAAAAGAAAAAAAUUGCUGAAUCUAGAGAGAAGGACAGACAAGAAAAGAGAUCCAAAAUAGCAGACCAGAGCUACAGUCAGUAGCAGAGUGGGAAUUGGUGUAACAAAUGGUAGAAGAAGAAGAAUUGGGGUAAUGCGCAAUCUACAACCAGUGCCCCGAUGACCAGAACCUAGUGGGAAAGCACACUCAAGAUUUUUAGUAUAGGCAGGGGCCGAGAUGCAGGGUUCACAGUCUCAAGGAAGUUAGCUUAGACUCUCGGACAUACCCGCGCUGUGAGAAAUACAUGAGGAAUCAUCUAGGGAGAUGUCAGUUUGGUGCUAUGGUGUGUUAUUCGUGCGGUCAGCCAGGCCAUAUCCAGAGAGAAUAUUCGGAAGCAAAGGUUAAUGUUGGUGGAGCCAAGUCACAGGCUAAUUCUUAUGCACCACCACCACCUCAGAAGGGUGCCAUUUCAGCCGCCGAAAAUGACUACAACUCGUUGUACGCCUUGACUAACCGCAAAGAGGCAGAGGCCUCACCGAAUGUAGUUACUGGUAUGUUACAAAUCUUUUCCUGUAAUGUGUAUAGAAAUUGUGUGGUGACUGUUUGUUGGCAGGAUAUGGUGGCAAUCCUCGUUGACUUAGACAUGGUUGAUUUUGAUGCUAUCUUAGGGAUGGAUUGGCUUCAUUCGUGCUAUGCCACGCUAAAUUAUAGAACCCGAAAGGUUACUUUCUCUUUCCCGAAUGAACCAACAAUAGAAUGGGAGGGACAUUCUUUAGCACCUAGAGGGAACUUCAUGUCUUGUCUCAAAGCCCGUAAACUCAUUUCUAAGGGUUGUUUGUAUCAUCUUAUUCUGGUUAAUGAGACUUAGAGUUUGAGGUUGGUGAUUGGUUGUUCCUCAAAGUCUCCCCUAUGAAGGGAGUUAUGUGAUUCGGAAAGAAAGGUAAGCUGAGUCCUCGCUAUAUAGGGCCAUACCAGAUUUUGAGAAGGAUAAGUAGAGUUGCGUACGAGUUAGAGUUGCCUGCAAGUUUGGAUUCUGUUCAUCCGGUAUUUCACAUAUCCAUGUUAAAGAAAUGUAUUGGAGACCAUUAAUUAGUAUUGCCUGUAGAGGAAGUCAAAGUGACAGACUCCUUAUCCUAUAAAUAAGAGCCCGUGGCAGUCUUGGAUCGCCAAGUUAGGAAACUGAGGAGCAAAGAAAUAGUCUUGGUCAAAGUGUUGUGGAAAUAUCAGAAAGUUGAAGAAGCCACUUGGGAAUCAGAAAAUGACAUGAGAGAUAGAUAGCCAGACUUAUUUAAUUCGAUGAAUGAAGAAAUGGAAGGUACAAUCCUUAUCUUAUUCUUUUAUGGCCUUAGUGUACCUUAAAUCAUGCUUUUCUGUGUUUUGUGGACUAAUGUAAUACCUCGCAAAAUUGUUCAUGCGUUAGUUCGUGGUAAUAUGCUAUUAGAGUUAAAUGACUAGAAUAGUGUCAAAGAGACUUAGUCUUAUUUUUGUCUUCCAAAAUGAGUAAAGUUUAAACCAUAUAUAAUUUCCCUAAUUUUGACUUUUUAUCAUGUGGGAAAUUGAAUAAGCUUUUUGUCGAAAUAAGAUUCGCCCAAAUCCGAUACUCGGGUAAGAAGUUAUAGCUAAUUUAAGUUUUAGUCAUAAGACACUGUCAUUUUGGUGCUUGGUGCAUCGCGGAGGGGGCCUAUUUAGAAAUUGUCAAAUUCCAAUAGCAUAGCGCUAUUUUGGUGUGUCGCGCUAAAGUUUUAGGUCCCAACCAGUGGAACAACGUGAUAGCUCCGCAUCGCGGUGACCUUAAGAAUCUCACUCGUCAAUUUCCAGUGAGCCACCGCGAUUGUGGCGCAUUGUGAUGGCCCAUGAAAUCAGGCUCCAAGUUAUAUUUUUAUUCCAUCUCAUUAAGGGUACAUUAGGUAUUUUCCACCCUCUUAUCAACUUAAACACGGGAUUUUUAUCCCAAAUGACCUCAUUAUUGAUAUUUUCAUCAAAAAUCAUCAAGAAUACUCCUUAGGGUUUCAAACAAGAAAAUCCAAACAACUCAAGAUUCAACCGUAGGUUUUUAAAAUUAAUUAAAGAUUUGGAAUCCGCAAACCGUGGGCACCAAGAAUCAUCCUUUAAUUUCCUAAAUAGAGAUACAUGGGGUUUAUCCUAAAAAUACAUGGGCUUGUUGAAAACACUCAAUUAUGAUUUAAAGAUUAUAAAGCAUGAAUUUGUUAAAUGGGUUUGAAAUCCAUGAUUUUAUUAUUCUUUAUACAUGUUAUUGAUAUUGUUGUUUUGGCCUUUAGGCCUCAUCCCCUUAAAUUGACUUACAAGUAUAUUUAUAUGUUUGUAAUUGAAAUUUAAGAUUUGUUUGAGAGCACAAAUUAUGAAGUCCCUCUCUUGUGAUAAAUUCAAGUUUAUGAUCUUAUUAUGAAUGAUUUGAAAUGCAUGUUUUAUGGAUUGAAAAUAGUUUACUUAAAUGCCAAAUUAUUUUGGGCAUGAUUUAGAGAUUUAAGAGACGGAGUUUCUUGAUUUAAAUAUAUUUUGUUAAAAGAGAAAGAUUUACAUGAGGUUAAGAGUUUUGAUAUGGCCACCUUGCAUCAUUGAAAGUUUGACACAGAAAGUUGCAUACAUGUAUUUACAUGAGUUUUAAAGAAGGAUUUCUUUGAAAUGAUUUAUUGAUAAGGUGGUCCCGAAUUUAUGUUUUGAAAACAGAGAUUGUAAUAUGCUAAUAAUGGCUCAUAAAUGUGACUUGCAAGUCAAUGGUAUGACGAUACCAUAAAUAUGUAUGGUAUAACAGAGUAUGUAUUCAAAAUAUGUUUUUAGAGAAUGCAUGUUUUAAAGAGUUAAAAAUAGACUUAAAGCGGGCGAGGUGGUUACUCGAAGAAGGCUUGAGUUCAAGUAACUCUUAGCCUAAAACCACGAUUUGCCGAUCAGGUAUAUCAUUUUUACGCUGGCGACGGUCGUAUGGUGUAGAGGAGUCAGAGACUCCAACCCUUGCAGCAUACUUGGGUUGGAGGCUUCCCCGCCGAGUCAAUGGUGAAUUUCAUAUGGCCCAAGGAAUUUCAGAGUUCUAGGGUAUUCUACCUAGCGCAGAAGUAAAACAAAGAAUGUCUCAAAGUCAGAUGAUUUUCUUUGAGAGUCUUUUAGAAAUGCCCAUGAGAUUUCUUACUAUAUGAUAUGUUUAUGAACUAUUUUUAAAUUACUCUCAUAUAUAUUAAAUAUAAAUUAUUAUUUUGGAUUUACUCUGCUUACCAAUACAUUUGUAUUGGUCCCCUACCUCCCAGGUUUGGAGGCUCAGUCUAAGGGUCUGACUAAUCAGUAGAGUAUCCCAGAGAGAAGUGAUCUGUGCAGUGGUGUUCCUUCUUUGUUCCAGAAGGCCUGUUAUUUUAGAUUAUGUUAUUCUGUUGUUUUAGUCUACUGGGGGCCUGUCCCAGCUUUCAGAUAGUUGUCAGAUUUUCAUGUAGUAGAGAUUUCGCAGACUAUUCCAAAUGUUGUUUAGUUGAGUUCGGAUUUCAUUCCUUAUUGUCAAACUAAAUCCAGAGUAUGACCAUGUUUCUGUAUCAGAUUAUAUUUCCGCAUCUCCUUUUAUUAUGUGAAUACUGUGCAUGAUUACCAGAUAGAGUAGGACACCCAGACUUCAUGGUUCGGGAUUUCCAUAACCAGCUGCAGCCUUCCUUCUUGAUUUUUUAGGGACCUGGUCCCUUAACUUUCCCUUUUCACCUGCAGCUUUAAGGUAAUACUUAUAGUCCAUUUUGUAUAUUGGACAAUCCUUAAUGAAAUUCUCAGGACUUCCACAUUUGUGACACACCUCAACAUUACUUCC